rnacentral:rRNA from 1 species
CCUACGGGCGGCAGCAGUGAGGAAUAUUGGUCAAUGGACGAGAGUCUGAACCAGCCAAGUAGCGUGAAGGAUGACUGCCCUAUGGGUUGUAAACUUCUUUUAUAUGGGAAUAAAACGUUCCACGUGUGGGAUUUUGUAUGUACCAUAUGAAUAAGGAUCGGCUAACUCCGUGCCAGCAGCCGCGGUAAUACGGAGGAUCCGAGCGUUAUCCGGAUUUAUUGGGGUUAAAGGGAGCGUAGGUGGAUUGUUAAGUCAGUUGUGAAAGUUUGCGGCUCAACCGUAAAAUUGCAGUUGAAACUGGCAGUCUUGAGUACAGUAGAGGUGGGCGGAAUUCGUGGUGUAGCGGUGAAAUGCUUAGAUAUCACGAAGAACUCCGAUUGCGAAGGCAGUUCACUGGACUGCAACUGACACUGAGGCUCGAAAGUGUGGGUAUCAAACAGGAUUAGAUACCCUAGUAGUC